UACGGGGGGGGCAAGCGUUGUUCGGAAUUACUGGGCGUAAAGGGCUCGUAGGCGGCCAACUAAGUCAGACGUGAAAUCCCUCGGCUUAACCGGGGAACUGCGUCUGAUACUGGAUGGCUUGAGUUUGGGAGAGGGAUGCGGAAUUCCAGGUGUAGCGGUGAAAUGCGCAGAUAUCGAGAGGAACACCUGCGGCGAAGGCGGGUUGCUGGGCUGACACUGACGCUGAUGCGCGAAAGCCAGGGGAGCGAACAGG
rnacentral:rRNA from 1 species